UUCUGGUUGAUCCUGCCGGAGGCUACCGCUAUUGGAGUUCGAUUAAGCCAUGCGAGUCGAGAGUCUUAGGGACUCGGCGCACCGCUCAGUAACACGUGGGUAACCUGCCCUAUGCUGGGGAAUAACCUCGGGAAACUGAGAAUAAUGCCCCAUAGCCCACUACGCCUGGAACGGUGAGUGGGUCAAAGCUCCGGCGGCAUAGGAUGGGCCUGCGCCGUAUCAGGUUGUAGGGGGUGUAAAGUACCCUCUAGCCAUCAACGCGUACGGGUGUUGGGAGACAUUGCCCGGAGAUGGAUUCUGAGACACGAAUCCAGACCCUACGGGGUGCAGCAGGCGCGAAAACUUGGCAAUGCGAGCAAUCGUGACCAGGGAACUCCAAGUGCGUAGGGUAAGACCUACGCUUUUCUUGACUCUUCAAAGGUCUUGGAAUAAGGGGUGGGUAAGGACGGUGCCAGCCGCCGCGGUAAUACCGGCGCCUCAAGUGGUAGUCGCUUUUAUUGGGCCUAAAACGUCCGUAGCCGGUCUGGUGCAUUCGUGGGGUAA
rnacentral:rRNA from 1 species